UACCAGCACCCCGAGUUGUCGGGACGAUUAUUGGGCCUAAAGCAUCCGUAGCCUGUUCUACAAGUCCUCCGUUAAAUCCACCUGCUCAACAGAUGGGCUGCGGGGGAUACUAUAGGGUUAGGAGGCGGGAGAGGCAAACGGUACUCAGUGGGUAGGGGUAAAAUCCAUUGAUCUACUGAAGUACCACCAGUGGCGAAGGCGGUUUGCCAGAACGCGCUCGACGGUGAGGAUGAAAGCUGGGGGAGCAAACCGG
rnacentral:rRNA from 1 species